rnacentral:rRNA from 1 species
GAUGAACGCUGGCGGCGUGCCUAAUACAUGCAAGUCGAGCGAACAGACGAGGAGCUUGCUCCUCUGAUGUUAGCGGCGGACGGGUGAGUAACACGUGGAUAACCUACCUAUAAGACUGGGAUAACUUCGGGAAACCGGAGCUAAUACCGGAUAAUAUAUUGAACCGCAUGGUUCAAUAGUGAAAGACGGUUUUGCUGUCACUUAUAGAUGGAUCCGCGCCGCAUUAGCUGGUUGGUAAGGUAACGGCUUACCAAGGCAACGAUGCGUAGCCGACCUGAGAGGAUGAUCGGCCACACUGGAACUGAGACACGGUCCAGACUCCUACGGAAGGCAGCAGUAGGGAAUCUUCCGCAAUGGGCGAAAGCCUGACGGAGCAACGCCGCGUGAGUGAUGAAGGUCUUCGGAUCGUAAAACUCUGUUAUUAGGGAAGAACAAAUGUGUAAGUAACUAUGCACGUCUUGACGGUACCUAAUCAGAAAGCCACGGCUAACUACGUG